GGUAGUGUGGCCAAGUGGUCUAAGGUGCUGGAUUUAGGCUCCAGUCUCUCAGGAAGUGUGGGUUCAAAUCCCACCACUGCCA